CCUACGGGCGGCAGCAGUGAGGAAUAUUGGUCAAUGGGCGGGAGCCUGAACCAGCCAAGCCGCGUGAGGGAAGAAGGUACAGCGUAUCGUAAACCUCUUUUGUCAGGGAACAAAGGCGGGGACUAGUCCCCGGAUGAGGGUACCUGAAGACAAAGCAUCGGCUAACUCCGUGCCAGCAGCCACGGUAAUACGGAGGCUGCGAGCGUUAUCCGGAUUUAUUGGGUUUAAAGGGUGGGCAGGCGGCCUGUUAAGUCAGCGGUAAAAGCCCGGGGCUCAACCUCGGUACGCCGUUGAAACUGGCGUUCUUGAGUGGGCGAGAAGUAUGCGGAAUGCGUGGUGUAGCGGUGAAAUGCAUAGAUAUCACGAAGAACACCGAUUGCGAAGGCAGCAUACCGGCGCCCAACUGACGCUGAAGCACGAAAGCGUGGGUAUCGAACAGGAUUAGAUACCCCGGUAGUC
rnacentral:rRNA from 1 species